rnacentral:rRNA from 1 species
AGAGUUUGAUCCUGGCUCAGGAUGAACGCUGGCGGUGUGCCUAAUACAUGCAAGUCGGACGAGAUCUUCGGAUCUAGUGGCGGACGGGUGAGUAACACGUUGGUACCUACCCCUAAGUGGGGAAUAACUGCCCGAAAGGGUGGCUAAUACCGCAUAAUCCCGCAAGGGUAAAGCAGUAAUGCGCUUAGGGAGGGGCCUGCGUCUGAUUAGCUAGUUGGUAAGGUAAUGGCUUACCAAGGCGACGAUCAGUAGCUGGAUCGAGAGGUUGACCAGCCACACUGGGACUGAGAUACGGCCCAGACUCCUACGGGAGGCAGCAGUAAGGAAUCUUCCACAAUGGACGAAAGUCUGAUGGAGCAACACCGCGUGCAGGAUGACGGUCUUCGGAUUGUAAACUGCUUU